rnacentral:rRNA from 1 species
GCUGAGGUUGGUACUUGUACCAACUGGAUGAGCAGCGAACGGGUGAGUAACGCGUGGGGAAUCUGCCUUUGAGCGGGGGACAACAUUUGGAAACGAAUGCUAAUACCGCAUAAAAACUUUAAACACAAGUUUUAAGUUUGAAAGAUGCAAUUGCAUCACUCAAAGAUGAUCCCGCGUUGUAUUAGCUAGUUGGUGAGGUAAAGGCUCACCAAGGCGAUGAUACAUAGCCGACCUGAGAGGGUGAUCGGCCACAUUGGGACUGAGACACGGCCCAAACUCCUACGGGAGGCAGCAGUAGGGAAUCUUCGGCAAUGGACGAAAGUCUGACCGAGCAACGCCGCGUGAGUGAAGAAGGUUUUCGGAUCGUAAAACUCUGUUGGUAGAGAAGAACGUUGGUGAGAGUGGAAAGCUCAUCAAGU